rnacentral:misc_RNA from 1 species
UCAAUUGCUUUUAAUAAUUUUAAGCAUGACGGAAGCUCUGGUAAACUCUUAAGACUCUCGCAAUCGCUUAAAUCAAGCUCUUUCAACUUCGAAAGUUGUUUGAUGCUUUCAGGAAGACUUGCUAAAUUUGAGCAAUUCCGGAGAAAUAACUUUUCAAGACAUUUCAACUCGCCUAUGCUGCUUGGAAUAGUCACGAGUCUUGAACAUCCAGCUAGAUCAAGUUCUUCAAGACGUUUCAAAUUGCCAAUGCUGCUUGGAAGACUCUCGAGUGCUGUACACUGAUCCAAGGACAAUAUGACAAGUUGAGACAGAUGCUUAAUUGAUGAGGGCAGUUGUUCUAUUCCAGUGUAAUUUAAAGUUAGAAUCCUUAUAUUACACGGAAUCUCUGGACAAUCUUUGAUUUUGCAGCAAUCACUUAGAUGAAGUUCAGUAAGCUUGCUCAGAUUUUGAAGAGAGGGAAUUUCAACCAA